GGCUGUUUCCUGUGAAGAUCCCUUUUUUUCCACUUCCCUGUAUUCCAGCAGACUUGGUAUUGCAGCUAUUUUGCUGGUCUCAGUGUCUGCCUUUUGAAGAUCAACAGGCUAUUUGUUUUGGACAAGUUCUCUCCUUCCGGCACGGGAUCUCACUAACCCAGCGCUCCCUAACAGGAGUCCACAAAGAAAUCAUGGGCCGUUUGCACAGAGCACAGCACAUAAAACUCCCACCUUUUAAAAAAGGCAAUUAAACAGGCCACACAAAGCCUCUUGUUCCCUCCAAGGGCGGUGCAGCAGCCCUGAACAGCCUCAGUCCUCAUGGAGGCUCCAGAGGCCCAGCUGUGCCCAGUCACCUCACGGAUGCUAACGUGGGCCUGAAAAGCCCAAAGCGCCUUGCAGGACUCUCUGCUGCCGUCUCUUCAGCUGGAGAAUUACGCUGAAGAAUUCUGACAUCCUGUUGAAGGCUUCCUGCAGGAAAGGUGAAGUUUCAAACCCGUGUGUUGCCUGAACCUUGAUCACACCUUGUCUGCUAUUGAAAUAUAUCACCCAGAAGUGCUUCCUUAUGAAUCAGGCACUCAUCAUGCUUUUUAACUCCCUUGGAGAAAAUUAUGCAGUGCUGAGUUGCCUGCGUGAGUUAUCUUUUAUUCAUUAGAAUCCUAAAUGUUAUUGAAAUGUAUUCUUAAUUAUUCCCUGCUGAAAACAGUAGUGUUCUUGAACAAGUAUUUUGCAUUUGUUAUGUCCUGCUGCUAACAUAGUUAAUAACCUAUAUAAUAAUAAAAUAAGAAACUCUCAGUGCA
rnacentral:lncRNA from 1 species